rnacentral:piRNA from 1 species
UGCCAAUUGAACAGUCCCUCUUAGUAAUGAA